GAUGAACGCUGGCGGCGUGCCUAAUACAUGCAAGUCGAGCGAACAGACGAGGAGCUUGCUCCUCUGGCGUUAGCGGCGGACGGGUGAGUAACACGUGGAUAACCUACCUAUAAGACUGGGAUAACUUCGGGAAACCGGAGCUAAUACCGGAUAAUAUAUUGAACCGCAUGGUUCAAUAGUUAAAGACGGUUUUGCUGUCACUUAUAGAUGGAUCCGCGCCGCAUUAGCUAGUUGGUAAGGUAACGGCUUACCAAGGCGACGAUGCGUAGCCGACCUGAGAGGGUGAUCAGCCACACUGGAACUGAGACACGGUCCAGACUCCUACGGGAGGCAGCAGUAGGGAAUCUUCCGCAAAGGGCGAAAGCCUGACGGAGCAACGCCGCGUGAGUGAUGAAGGUCUUCGGAUCGUAAAACUCUGUUAUUAGGGAAGAACAAAUGUGUAAGUAACUAUGCACGUCUUGACGGUACCUAAUCAGAAAGCAACGGCUAACUACGUG
rnacentral:rRNA from 1 species